rnacentral:rRNA from 1 species
UACGGAGGGGGCUAGCGUUGUUCGGAAUUACUGGGCGUAAAGCGCGCGUAGGCGGACCUGCAAGUCGGGGGUGAAAGCCCGAGGCUCAACCUCGGAACUGCCUUCGAUACUGCGGGUCUCGAGUCCGGGAGAGGUGAGUGGAAUUCCUAGUGUAGAGGUGAAAUUCGUAGAUAUUAGGAAGAACACCAGAGGCGAAGGCGGCUACCUGGACAAUUGCUGACGCUCAGGCACGAAAGCGUGGGGAGCAAAAGGG